rnacentral:rRNA from 1 species
UCAGRUUGAACGCUGGCGGCAGGCCUAACACAUGCAAGUCGAGCGGUAGAGAGAAGCUUGCUUCUCUUGAGAGCGGCGGACGGGUGAGUAAUGCCUAGGAAUCUGCCUGGUAGUGGGGGAUAACGCUCGGAAACGGACGCUAAUACCGCAUACGUCCUACGGGAGAAAGCAGGGGACCUUCGGGCCUUGCGCUAUCAGAUGAGCCUAGGUCGGAUUAGCUAGUUGGUGAGGUAAUGGCUCACCAAGGCGACGAUCCGUAACUGGUCUGAGAGGAUGAUCAGUCACACUGGAACUGAGACACGGUCCAGACUCCUACGGGAGGCAGCAGUGGGGAAUAUUGGACAAUGGGCGAAAGCCUGAUCCAGCCAUGCCGCGUGUGUGAAGAAGGUCUUCGGAUUGUAAAGCACUUUAAGUUGGGAGGAAGGGUUGUAGAUUAAUACUCUGCAAUUUUGACGUUACCGACAGAAUAAGCACCGGCUAACUCU